rnacentral:rRNA from 1 species
UUAAGUGACUAAGCGUACAUGGUGGAUGCCUUGGCAGUCAGAGGCGAUGAAGGACGUACUAACCUGCGAUAAGCUGUGAGAAGUCGGUAAGAGACGCUAUUACUCACAGAUUUCCGAAUGGGGAAACCCACCCGAGAUAACUCGGGUAUCUGUUACUGAAUACAUAGGUAACAGAGGCGAACCGGGAGAACUGAAACAUCUAAGUACCCCGAGGAAAAGAAAUCAACCGAGAUUCCCUCAGUAGCGGCGAGCGAACGGGGAUUAGCCCUUAAGCAUCUUGGAAGUUAGUGGAACGGUCCUGGAAAGGCCGGCGAUACAGGGUGAUAGCCCCGUACACGAAAACAACCUUGAUGUGAAAUCGAGUAGGGCGGGACACGUGACAUCCUGUCUGAAUAUGGGGGGACCAUCCUCCAAGGCUAAAUACUCCUGACUGACCGAUAGUGAACCAGUACCGUGAGGGAAAGGCGAAAAGAACCCCUGUGAGGGGAGUGAAAUAGAACCUGAAACCGUGUACGUACAAGCAGUGGGAGCCCUUCGGGGUGACUGCGUACCUUUUGUAUAAUGGGUCAGCGACUUACAUUUUGUAGCGAGGUUAACCGUAUAGGGGAGCCGUAGGGAAACCGAGUCUUAACUGGGCGUCUAGUUGCAAGGUGUAGACCCGAAACCGGGUGAUCUAGCCAUGGGCAGGUUGAAGGUUGAGUAACAUCAACUGGAGGACCGAACCCACUAACGUUGCAAAGUUAGGGGAUGACCUGUGGCUGGGGGUGAAAGGCCAAUCAAACUCGGAGAUAGCUGGUUCUCCCCGAAAGCUAUUUAGGUAGCGCCUCGGACGAAUACUACUGGGGGUAGAGCACUGUUUGGGCUAGGGGGUCAUCCCGACUUACCAACCCCAUGCAAACUCCGAAUACCAGUAAGUAAUAUCCGGGAGACACACGGCGGGUGCUAACGUCCGUCGUGAAGAGGGAAACAACCCAGACCGCCGGCUAAGGUCCCAAAGUUCUGGUUAAGUGGGAAACGAUGUGGGAAGGCUCAGACAGCUAGGAUGUUGGCUUAGAAGCAGCCAUCAUUUAAAGAAAGCGUAAUAGCUCACUAGUCGAGUCGGCCUGCGCGGAAGAUGUAACGGGGCUCAAACCAGGCACCGAAGCCGCGGAUUCACACUUAUGUGUGAGUGGUAGGGGAGCGUUCUGUAAGUCUGCGAAGGUGUAUCGAGAGGUAUGCUGGAGAUAUCAGAAGUGCGAAUGCUGACGUAAGUAACGAUAAAGGGGGUGAAAAGCCUCCUCGCCGGAAGACCAAGGGUUCCUGUCCAACGUUAAUCGGGGCAGGGUGAGUCGACCCCUAAGGCGAGGCCGAAAGGCGUAGUCGAUGGGAAGCAGGUUAAUAUUCCUGCACGACUUGUAAUUGCGAUGGGGGGACGGAGAAGGCUAGGUGGGCCAGGCGACGGUUGUCCUGGUGAAAGUGCGUAGGUGGUGUUUCUAGGCAAAUCCGGAGACACAACACUGAGACACGAGACGAACACACUACGGUGUGGAAGCCAUUGAUGCCCUGCUUCCAGGAAAAGCCUCUAAGCUUCAGAUUACAAGUCAUCGUACCCCAAACCGACACAGGUGGUCGGGUAGAGAAUACCAAGGCGCUUGAGAGAACUCGGGUGAAGGAACUAGGCAAAAUAGAACCGUAACUUCGGGAGAAGGUUCGCUCUUGACAGUGAAGUCCCUUGCGGAUGGAGCAGUUGGGAGUCGCAGUGACCAGAUGGCUGGGACUGUUUAUCAAAAACACAGCACUCUGCAAACACGAAAGUGGACGUAUAGGGUGUGACACCUGCCCGGUGCCGGAAGGUUAAUUGAUGGGGUUAGCGCAAGCGAAGCUCUUGAUCGAAGCCCCGGUAAACGGCGGCCGUAACUAUAACGGUCCUAAGGUAGCGAAAUUCCUUGUCGGGUAAGUUCCGACCUG